GACGAACGCUGGCGGCGUGCUUAACACAUGCAAGUCGAACGGUGAAGCGCCUUCCUUUUUGGUGGGUGUGGAUGAGUGGCGAACUGGUGAGUAACACGUGAGUAACCUGCCCCCUUCUUCUGGAUAACCGCAUGAAAGUGUGGCUAAUACGGGAUAUUCUGGGUCUGUCGCAUGAUGGGUCUGGGAAAGAUAUUGUUUCGGUGGGGGAUGGGCUCGCGGCCUAUCAGCUUGUUGGUGGGGUGAUGGCCUACCAAGGCGGUGACGGGUAGCCGGCCUGAGAGGGUGGACGGUCACACUGGGACUGAGACACGGCCCAGACUCCUACGGGAGGCAGCAGUGGGGAAUAUUGCACAAUGGGCGCAAGCAUGAUGCAGCGACGCCGCGUGAGGGAUGGAGGCCUUCGGGUUGUGAACCUCUUUCGCCAGUGAAGCAGGCCUGCCUCGUUUGUGGGUGGGUUGACGGUAGCUGGAUAAGAAGCGCCGGCUAACUACGUG
rnacentral:rRNA from 1 species